rnacentral:tRNA from 1 species
GGAGGGUUGGCCGAGUGGUUGAUGGCGCCAGUCUUGAAAACUGGAGACGCGCAAGCGUUCGGGGGUUCGAAUCCCUCACCCUCCGCCA